CUGUGACAGUAGGUUAGUUAGUGAUGAAGCUGUUUGUGCACCUGAGGCCUUCCUAAGGCACUUAAAGUCACCUCUAUGUGCUCUCCCCCCUCUGCUGACAGGGCUGGCUCUGACCCCACAAGUUCAGAGUCACUAGACACAGACGCCCAGAAUCCCAAAGCACUGACUAAAUCUGCCCAUGUGUCUCAGCAGUGGAUUUCAGCACUUUCUCUUCUCCCUGUGUCCACAGAUCUGAACCAGCCUGGAGAAAAAGAUGUGCCCGUGAGCCUCAUGAUUGGAAGGGCCUUUGUCACGCGGAGUUCUAAGCUCGGUGGCCAAUACUAUUCCAUGCCCUGGGGUUACAGCCGUCUGACCUCUCGCUGCCCUAAUUAUACUCUAGAAGAACGACAGCUCCUUCUAGACAUCCAGCCACUAAACAAUCAGAUAAUGCUUUUCUGCUACUGGUACCUAGGAUUGAAUGCAAGAGGUUUGGAACUUUCCAGAAAAGAAUAUUGUUGUGUAUCACAGAGAGGGUACAAGAGGAAGCUCUCGGAUCGGACAGACUCAGGUGUCUCCAAACCUAGAGGAAUCUGCGGAUCUGUGAAGGGGUUUUUGUGGUGUUCAUGACUCUCCUGCUGUCAGAUUUGCAGAAGAUAAAACAGAAAAAGGAAAGCGACUCCUCCCUUAUAUUAAAAAUAAAUAAGAUUUUAAAUUUCUAUUU
rnacentral:lncRNA from 12 species